CUUAACACAUGCAAGUCGAGCGAGGCCUUCGGGUCUAGCGGCGGACGGGUGAGUAACGCGUGGGAACGUGCCCUUUUCUGCGGAAUAGCCUCGGGAAACUGAGAGUAAUACCGCAUACGCCCUUUGGGGGAAAGAUUUAUUGGAGAAGGAUCGGCCCGCGUUGGAUUAGGUAGUUGGUGGGGUAACGGCCCACCAAGCCUUCGAUGGAUAGGGGUUCUGAGAGGAAGGUCCCCCACAUUGGAACUGAGACACGGUCCAA
rnacentral:rRNA from 1 species